UCGUAGACCUUCCCAGCCGGCUCAUGAUAGCUCCUACCUUUGUGUUGGCUUGGCACUGACACCACCACAACCCCUCUAUGUGCUUCUCAUAGGGUGGUGCUGGUGCAGCUGCAAGAACCCCAAUGUGAGUGUGAGGUUACCUUGCUCCCUGUCUCAGCACAUUAUAUUCUGCAGGCAGUGGUGGUAUUUUUGUUUCUUGCUCCUUGGUUUCUUCUUGAGUUUUCUUUCUUCUUCUCCAGCUGCUUCUCGUGUGCCUUUGAAGGGCUUAAUGCAGGGGGCAGGGUAGAAUCAAAGCAACUGAGCCAUGCUUGCUUUUGUCCUUUGCUUUUCUUUUCCUUGAGUUGUGCUAUUUUCUUUCUUUUCUUUUGAUUUCAUAUGUAAUUGGUCUUGAUUGGUCAAAGAAGAUCCAAUAGCCUAUAGGAGUUCAAGGUUGCAACUGACCGUGCUGCCUGAUCCAUAAGGAUUCCUUCGUUAGAGGAUAAUCUUGAUUACUUCAAAGUGUUAAGGAUGGAAUAAAAGAAUGGGAAGGAGUAACCUUUGAGUAAAUCUAGGAGGGGCAUGACAGAUGAGAGAUUGCUCUGAUUAAGCAAGGCACAGAAAGCAACUGCAAAGUGAGAAGCACCCUGGAGAAAUACACAUCUGUAUGCUACUACUUUCAGGCAUGUUACUGAAAAAACAUGGUCAGUACAAAAUAGUUUGGGCCUGAUGUGAUUUAUCAGCAUAUCUGAAGCAAGCAGAUUUUCCUUGACCAAAAGCCAAGAUGAGGCAGGGGACAGGUUCAUAUCACUUCUAUAUUGUGGAAAGGGCCAAAGGAGUUGGUUAUUUUUGAGACAGCCUGACACACUGGCUGUCCUGAAAUUCACUGUUAUGCAAGCUAGCAAAAAUAAAGUGCAAGAGGUGGCUGCAUGCAUUACUGACACUAGGAUCCCCUGUUUUAACAUUGGUAAAUGCUGAAAAUUACUUCCCCUCCACGACCUCGGUACAUCCUAAUAUUUACUCCAUCUGCUCUUGCAGUGAAGUUGAAAUUUGUAGCAUAAGACAAGGGAGUAAUUUAGUACUGUUCCUGGUACGAAAAUUCAAACACCGCUUCAUAUGAA